rnacentral:lncRNA from 1 species
ACGUCCUUCUAUUUUAUUAAUAUAGUCAUGGCCCAUUGGCCCAUCUAUUCCUUAACAUCUAUGAGAAGAGUCCGUGUAUGCUUUUUCUAUACGGAUACGGAGUACACCCGGACACCCGGAUACCUAGGCAUGGCGUAUAAUUAUUCAACAUUUCAACAGACAACAGAUGUUAAUUUGGAAUCUAGGCCAAUCCUUUGGAACAACACAUCCAACGAGAACAAANACAAAAAAAAUAGNAACUACAAACAGGUCAAACAGUGCAAACUAGUAUUUUACGAAACGGUGCUCAANUAUGAACCGAGUACGAAAGUCAGUAAUCAGAUGAUAUCGUUCCCCACCACCGACUACAAUAUCGUUGAGUGAGAAAGCUAUAAUCUAUAUUAUUUACACAUUGGACAUUGGACAUUUGGACUAUAAAGUUUACUUUGUAAUUACUGACUGUGCUAUGUGAAGAUAUUAUUACUUAUGAGAUUUAGAAGAACAAAUUUUACCUGAGCCAAAUUAUCAAAAAUAUUUUGAAGUAUAAAGAGUCNUUGAGGAUAUUUUUUUUAUUCAGAAGCUGGAAGUGAAGUGCUUAAGUUGUGUCGAUAUAAAGUGUUACAUGGUGUAUUCACUUUCCAACUCUAAUAUAAAAAAAAACAUUUCAGCAAGCAACGUCCAAAUCUAUUAAAAACAAUUGAUCACAAUAAUUAUUCAGCAAACAAAGACAUGUAAUGAUGGAUCACUAUAGAAUAAUACUGGUAGUUCUUAAAAACAAUCAGAUACUUAACAAUAACCAAUUUCAGAAGUUUUUUUAAACAACAUAAAGUUUACUUGUCAAAGUCAUGCCAUUGAAUAAUGGUCACGAGGAUUCAUCGAGAAGUAUUCAUCUUUCAGCAUUGAGACAACUAAAAAGUUCACAUAUGUUUGAUGUUUUUUGUCAAAGCUAUGGAUGCAGUAUACACUCAAUUAGAGAUUUUGGCUAAAUUAUUUUAUUGUACUACAGACGAUAGUUCUCAUUUUAGUAAAAUGUUCCCAAACAUUUGGUCAUAAAUUUGACGAUGGAAAAACUGAAAGAUUACUAGUAACUUGUCAGUAGAUGAUGAUUUAGAACAAAUCAAUGAAAUCAACUUCACCAUUCUAAAUUAUGAAGACCAAGAUUUUCAGUAUACAUAACCAAAAUACCAUUGAUGUUGUGCACUCAUAAUUAACUUUAUAGU